AUUCAGUGUGAGAGGAAGCAGUGGGGAAGCAGGAGACAGAUGAGCAACAGGUCGGUUUUUAUCUAUUUUCGCUGGUUCUUCACUAAAACAAACGGACAACCUUAUGUAACAAACUUUAUUGAAUUCAUAGGAACCCGCUACUUGACUGUGGUGAUUUGAGGAGGGCUGUAGAUGUGAAGAUUGAACUGUGAACUGGUGAGCAGAAUUGUUUGUCUUGAUAGCUUAGCCACCUCCAUUCAGAUGAAUGGAUGGUGUUAGCUGGAUGAACUGUCUGUGGCCAAGUGCCCAUUACUUAUUUGGUCAUUGCGUUGUUUGACUAACUGGUUGAACUGAUUUACAUUGUCUGACUUCACUGAUUUAUUGCACUGUACUUCUAUUAUCAUUUCCAUGUUAUGUAUGUCCUUGUAUGUCACUGUAGAUAAUUGCACUGUGGUUAUUAGUCAUCUGCUUGCUUUAACAUAUGGUGCCAUUUCAAAAGCAACACUCAGUCUCGUGUCCACUCCUUCCCUGAGCGUUCUCUAUUUUUUCUGGUCAAAAGCCCAAUAUUAUACAUCAAACCAUAUUUACAUCCACUAAAUUGUGUCAGCACAAGUGCUACAUGUAUCUUGCAUAACUGUUAUUAUCAAGUGCUGGCAGGGAAAUGAGCACAAAUGAGCAUUUUUAACUUCAUGUAUUUGCAGGGGAAAAAUCUCAUAAACAAACGUGAGCUUUAACGUCAUGUCGCAUUUGUUUAUUUCAGGAAGAGUGAGCAGACCGCACAAGGUGAAGAGAAAGCAGUCACAACCGAACACCUGAGGCAAAUAAGGACACAAUGGUAAAUUUAUGUAAUUAUCCAAGUUAAGAAAGAAGCAAAAGAAGUGUAACUUGGACUCAUUUUAUAGAUUGCUGCUUAGAUAUGGAUGAAUAUCUGGUUAUAGUGAACCAGUGGCUUGUUGUAUUGAACAUAGAUGUCAACACACUGUCAUAAAAAUGUCCAUGGAGACAUGAUAAAAAUGCAAUUUCAUCCAGUCAUCAUCCCAAUAUUACAUUUCCAAUGGUAUGAAUGUUGAUAUAGGACACAGAAAAAGG